rnacentral:rRNA from 2 species
UACGGAAGGUCCGGGCGUUAUCCGGAUUUAUUGGGUUUAAAGGGAGCGUAGGCCGGAGAUUAAGCGUGUUGUGAAAUGUAGAUGCUCAACGUCUGCACUGCAGCGCGAACUGGUUUCCUUGAGUACGCACAAAGUGGGCGGAAUUCGUGGUGUAGCGGUGAAAUGCUUAGAUAUCACGAAGAACUCCGAUUGCGAAGGCAGCUCACUGGAGCGCAACUGACGCUGAAGCUCGAAAGUGCGGGUAUCGAAC